rnacentral:rRNA from 1 species
UACGUAGGGCGCAAGCGUUGUCCGGAAUUAUUGGGCGUAAGAGCUCGUAGGCGGCUUGUCACGUCGGGUGUGAAGCCGGGCUUAACCCGGUCUGCAUUCGAUACGGCUAGCUAGAGUGUGGUAGGAGACUGGAAUUCCUGGUGUAGCGUGAAUGCGCAGAUAUCAGAGACACGAUGGCGAGCAGUCUCUGGCACUACUGACGCUGAGAGCGAAGCAUGGAGCGAACAGG